rnacentral:lncRNA from 1 species
CGCCGUCGUCGCCAUUUUUGCCGGUGAAGCCACUCAUAUUCCUUCCGCCUUCAUCUCCACCACAAAUCAUCACCAUUUUCCUUUCCUCCUCCAACAUCCACAAAACCAACAACCUAAGCUACCGCAUCAGAUCUAGCCGAACACCAUCACCAUUUUCGCCUUCAUCUCCGCCGCACACCAUCACCAUUUUCGCCGCCAUGAUUAGAUCCUUGCACCCUCACCCACCAUCACCAUUUUCGCCACCAUGAUUAGAUCCUCGCACCCUCACCCACCUCAUUCUCAUCUCCACUGACUAGCCGCACUCUCUCUCCCCCUACACUGCGUAUCAGUGGUGCCC